rnacentral:rRNA from 2 species
UGGGGAAUAUUGGGCAAUGGGGGAAACCCUGACCCAGCAACGCCGCGUGAGGGAAGAAGGUUUUCGGAUUGUAAACCUCUGUUCUUGGAGAAGAGAAGGAGACGGUAUCCAAGGAGGAAGCCCGGCUAACUACGUGCCAGCAGCCGCGGUAAUACGUAGGGGGCGAGCGUUGUCCGGAAUGACUGGGCGUAAAGGGCGCGUAGACGGUUUUUUAAGUCUGGAGUGAAAGUCCUGCUUUCAAGGUGGGAAUUGCUUUGGAGACUGGGGGACUUGAGUGCGGAAGAGGUAAGUGGAAUUCCCAGUGUAGCGGUGAAAUGCGUAGAGAUUGGGAAGAACACCAGUGGCGAAGGCGACUUACUGGGCCGUAACUGACGUUGAUGCGCGAAAGCGUGGGGAGCGAACAGG